UGCCAACUUUCUUUUCAGGCCAAUAUAUAGGCACUAUGACUUCUGAUCGAACCAAAUUACCAUUCACAUAGAACUUUAGCUCUGCCCUGGGUAUAUUCAUGUGCAAUGGAAGAAUGCAAGGACCCGAUGAUAGAUGGAAAUGAGAGGUAUCAGGAAAUAGAAUAGCUCAGAAACUUUUCUUGCAAGCUUUGGCUACAAUGUCUGCUCGCAAGACCAUGGGCGCCUGUGAAAGGCCAAGUACAACUGCUGCUCUGGCUCCUCUCGAAGCUCUACCGAAAGGGCUCCUGCAAAACUGCUUCACCGGUGGACCAGCAACGCACAGCCAAAAGAAUAGUGGCGCUUCUCUCAGCUCCGUCGAAGUUCGCAAAACCAAAGAACUGUUUUCCCCCAAUUUGGGGAUUUGAAUUUCUUACUGUUUUGCUUAAAUUCAUCUUUUUCCAGUACAAAUCAGCUCUGAGUCCUUAAAGAUGAUUUGUAGAGCCUUUAAUUUUCAACAAACCAUAUUUUGGCCAAAUUUCAAGUUUUGUUCAAAAUUUUGGUUUAUUUUUGAAUUCAGUAGAGAGGGGAUAG
rnacentral:lncRNA from 1 species